GUGUUGUGUUGUGUCUUGUGUGGCCCUUGUCAAGUUUCGCAUCUCUAUCUCUCUCUCUCUCUUAUUUGCUUCUCUCAUAUACAACUCUCUACUUUUUAUUUUCCUGGAAACUGCAUCAUCAUCAUCAUCAUCAUCAUCAUCAUCAUCCAUCACUCUUCCUUCCUUCCUUCUUUUGCUAGAUUCUUUCUCUCUCCCAAUACGCUUCAAAUCUGGACUUCUUCUGUCGGUGGAUUUGCUUACCUUUCGCUUCUUUGAUUACUCUUCCCUCUCUCUCUCUGGUGUGUUAGGUGGAGUUUAGCCUGAAAAAGGUAGUUCAAGUGAAAGUUUGGAUAUUUAUUACCACCCUCGACUAUGUCUGGAAACCAAGAGCCUCGGAUCCGACCACCUACUUGGAGUUGCAGUGAUGUUCCUAUCAAGAAGAGGAAGUACUUAGUGCAGCCGCAACUUCCGGAGAUGGAAGAAGCCGUCUCAACACAUUUUACACAACCUAACGAGCAAGGUGAUGCUCCUUUACUACCAUCUGUUUCUGUUGGAAAUUCUGGUAAAGGGAAGACCAUUGGGAACAUUGUUUUUGAUCAAAGUAGAGUGAAAGUUGAGAGGCCAAAUUCUCCAAUUCGCUCCAGUCCUUUGGUGGCAAGCUCUGAUAUCCCUUCCAACAGUUCUAACAAAAUACUUGGCAGUUCACUCCAGUGUUCUCUGGGAACGCUUCCUGCACAUCCUGCUGCUGUUGUUUCUUCAGUUCAAACUGGCACGAAAGCAGAAAAAACUGUUCUUAAGACUCAUGACAAUGUCAGGGAGACUAGUGACAAGGCUACUCUCAGAGGAGAGCUUCAAACAGAAGCAUUCCAUACUGUAUCCUUACGGCUAGGUUGUAACACUAAAAACAGUUCUCCGUCUUGGGAGAAUGAAGAGCGUACAGCACUGAAUUUGUCAUUAAGCAAGGGAGUCUGUGCCCCUCAUAACACAGAUUCUAUUUCUAUUUGUACCAAGUCUGGUUCUCAAAGUGGUGUGAACAGAUCAAACUGGGAUUUGAAUACUACCAUGGAUGCUUGGGAAGAUUCUCUAGAUCGCUCGACUAGAGUUAAGACAACUGGUGCUUUCUUAAACAGUAAUAGAAGCCUUCGUGGUAUAGAGACAUCAAGUUGUCGUGAUAAGAUUGUUAUUGCAAAGUCUGUUUCUGAAAAACAGAAAGAAAGUGUUGGAUUUAUAUCUCCUACAGUGACUUCAAUGAAGUCUGAUCAUCAAGUUAAUUCUACAUGUUCACUUAGUCUAGGCCUCAGUUCAUACCCUCCUCUUGAAAAAUUACCUUCUGUACCAGCUACCAUAUCAGAGGCAAGAGCUGCUUGCACAAGUUCUUCCAGACCAACAAUGACUGCUGUAAAUGUGAACUCGGUAAACAUUAGGACUGUGAAGUCAGAAAUCAUCGAAGAGAUUGUUAGGCAGGAAACUAAGAGUGCUCAAGUUUGCCCAAUCGGGAUAUCUAAUAAAGGGGUGAAACAGGAGGUUGUUGGUAGAUUCAGUCAAGGAAAUAGUCCCUCAUCUGGCAUUUUGAAGCCAGUGGUUCCUAUAUCAAUUAAGGCUGAGCCAAAUACCUUCACUCAGUCGGAAGUUUUCAAAAGGAAAGAUGGACCAUUGAAUCAUCCUCAGACACCAAAACUGCAAUCAUAUGGGGUCUCUGAUUUACCUACAAGUUCUACGCCAUAUCAGAAGGAUAAAUAUUUACCUAGUUCUAACGGUAUCAGCAAUGCACCAAUGUCCUUGAAGGAAAUGACAAUAACACCAGCCGUUCAGAGUUAUCCUGACUGUACAUUAAAAGAAAAUUCAGGCCAGAAUAGCGGUGCAGCUAAUAGUAAAUUAUGCGAAGUGCUGAGACAUGGCGAAGUUCACACGACCAGUUCAUGUUCUGGUCAGGUAGAUCAUAACCUCAAUGAGUCAGGUGUAAAUGUUACAUCCUUGACUGAAGAGAAAUUUCUAGAUGAUUGCAAGACCAGUAUAUCAAAAGAACUCCCUCGUAAUUCUCGUGGAACUGAUGAACUUUCUAUAAGUGAUGAAGAAAAGAUUAUUUCAUCUGGUAAGGAGCGAGAGAAACAGUUAUACAGUUAUGGGGUUGAAACAGGUUGUGGUCAUAAUCUAUCUAGCUUAAUAAAUAAGCAAGUUGGAAAUAGAAAUUUGUACGAUGACGGGAAGGUCCCAGGACCAGCUGCCGUUUUCAGGGAAGGAAAUGAGGUUGCACAUGCUGAGUGUGGUGGUUCUGAAAUUGAACACAGGAAUGUUAAUGUUCCAUACCAUGGCGACUUUCCGAAUUCUAUGUAUAUGGAAGAAAACGGGAGUCAACCUGCAGUUCCUGGUAAUACAGUUGAAAUGCCAAGCACUGAAGAUCAUAUCAAGAGGCAUACUCCAGAACGUCAAAGUAGAAUAUGUGAUGGAUCAGGUGAAAAUGAAGGCCGGAUAGUUCAGGAUGCUGAAGGAAUGUCUGGUGUCUCUACAGUGUCAGGCGGGAUUGAAUAUCCUGAAAUAGUAGAUAACAGUAGUCCAGUUUCAUACAAGGCAGAUUUUUCUACUGUUGACAACGAUCUUCCUGCUGAAUGCAGUGACGGUAGUCAGAGUCGAAUUAUAAGCUUAGCUCAGGUUUCUGACAAAUCUCCAAAUAAGGCACUGGAUGCUUCAGGCAGCUUUGUGUCAGUCCGAAUGGAAAGAGAUAGAUUUCCUAAUUUCCCAAUUGAACCGCGGAAAUAUAUUAUGAGAGGGAGUGAUGAAUUCUGCAAAUACCCUCGUGAGAGGUACCAUGGGAAGAUUAUGAGAGGCCCAAGGUUAAAUUUCAUGCCUGACAGAAGGAGAUUACCUGAUAACACAGAAAGCAAUCUGCAUGACCAGGACACAAAAAAUUUUGAGUUUGAUAAUCAUGGAAACACUCGUCGGGGUAGUGUGUUUAUGAAUAAUUUUCAGAGAGGGAGACGGCCUGCAAAUGAUGAAGUAACACCUUAUCCUCACUCCUUUCCGAGAAGAACCUCUAACUUUUCAUAUAAUAGAGGACCAACGAAUAAAGAGGAUGCAUCUGCAUUUCACGGAUUUAGAGAUGGUGAAAAAUUCACAAGGGGAUUACAAAGCAACAACACAGAACCAAUGUUUAUGAAUCACCAACGACCUUAUCAAGGUCGGAAUGGUUGUUUUGCUCGAGGACAAAAAAAGUUUUCUAACAAUCCCAAACGAGGUUUUCCUGGAUUUCGUUCACGGUCUCCAGGUAGAUCAAGAGAACGAUCAGAUGGUCCAUCCUCGUCUUUCAGGAAUAGAUCACAGGAAGAAUUCAGUGGGCAUACAGACUUUUCUCAUCGGAGGUCACCCUCAGGUUAUAAAAUGGAGAGGAUGAGCUCACCUGACCAUUCUGGUUAUUCAAGGGAAAGAGUUGUUAGAAGACACAAUUCUCCACCUUUCUCACAUAGACCAUCAAAUGCUGGAAGGGGACGGGGUUAUGCGAGGGGCCGAGGUUAUGCAAGGGGUCGAGGUUAUGGAAGAGAUGGCAACUCAUUUAGGAAACCAUCUGAUCGUGUUGUAUACAGAAACCAUGGAAACUUUAACAACUUGGAUCCUCGAGAAAGGGUCGUUUACAGUGAUGAUUUCUUUGAAGGUUCAAUUCAUUCUGAACGAUAUGGCAUUGAUGUUAAUGCUGAGAGAAGACGGUUUGGUUAUAGACAUGAUGGUACGAGCUCUUUUAGACCAUCUUUUAACAAUGAUGGUUGUGCGCCUAGUAAUGUAGAGAAUGACCCUGAUGCUGUGAGGUUCGGACAGGACCCUGAUAUUAAAAAUGAAGAACCAGGGAGUUUAAUGGAAACUGAUGGGGAAAAUAAUAACUCAACUGAGAAUGCAUCUGAAAGAACUAUGAAUAUGGAAGAGGAGGAAACUUCAAAGCAGAGUAAAAUUUGGCAACGGGAUGAGCUCGGUGGUGAUGGUUUUUAGAAUAAAGGUUAGUAUUCAAUUUACUUGAACCUGUAAGACCAGGAAGGUAUAAGUGAUGGUGAAUCAGGUAUCAAACGGAAGUUCUAUGAUUUUGCCACGUCCGAGACCAGUUAGUGGCUGAUUAUUGUGGACAUUCCAAUCACUGUUGCAAAGAGACAAACUGCUCUAUCGUCCUUUAAAGUUUCAAAAUUGGCCAUUGCUUGGCUGUGUAUAUACAGCACUUCUGUUGCCUUUCUUUCUGCGAUUCAUAUUCCGGCCUCUCUUCUGCUCUGUAUCACUGUCCAUGUUGAAGUUGCAAUGGGUAUACAACCUAAGGAAGAUGGUGUAAAUACCAUGUGGGAAUUUUCAAGGCUUCUCCACGCACAGUAAUCCUCAGCUGGCUUAGGUAGAAUGUCACUGUUCCAACAGAUAUGAAUUACUAGUGUGUUAGAAGAGACACUUUUCUCUUGUUAUACAGGGGUAGAGACUUUUCACCUAUUUAGGCAGGAGAGACCUGCAGGUUUUGGUCUUGGUGAACAAGUCUCUUUGCCGAAGCAUCAGAGUGUUCUACUCGAAAUUGGACUUGCUAGAACGAUAACAACCCCAAUACAUGGUUGAUCUAUAACUGUUAUUGGUUUAGAACAUUCACUUUUAUCUGCUGAGAAGCGGAUGAUGGGUUCCUCCAAUCUGCCUUUAGGCAUGCCCUAGAUGAUUUAUAGGUAUCUUGGUGGUAUUUGAAGUGCUAGCUAGCUACACCAAGCUUGCUUGAAAUGUUGAACAGCCACUUAGCAGUUGAUAUAGACAAAAGGAGUGUGCGAAACAAGGGUUAGUAAGUUGAAUAUUAUUGUGUUGGCCAAUAAUGUACAGUUGGUAGAACUGGAUUCACUUGCCAUGGACUAGAGCAAACUGGAAACGGCCAAAGUGUAGGCAUGUGAAAGGUUCAUGGCACGGAGUUUUACCAGGUUUAAUCAGUAGAUGUUGUUGAUGAGGGUUUGAAGUGUUUUGAACUGGAAGAGGAAUCCAUAAUUUUUGAUUGGGGAAUGUGUGUGGGUGUUGGCUUUAGUUCAUGAAUCUAUGUUUUAUAGAGGCUGCUGAUAUUGUAAGAGUGACGAGGCUAUAGCUACCAAUCCAUCAACAUACAAGUCAGGAUAUUUUACAGAAGUGUAAAAGGUGCCUUUGUACUGAGUAUUGUGAAUACAAAAGAGUUGUAUGUUUUAGUUGUGAAAUUUGUGCGCUCAUUAAACCAAACAUGCCAUAUAUUCUCAUGUCUCCUCCACAAAGUAAAAAAUAUCAAAGUUUGUUUUGUGA